rnacentral:rRNA from 1 species
AGGGAGAUUUUAGCCUCGGCUAAAUGGAACCGGCGCACGGGUGCGUAACGCGUACACAACAUGCCUUAUACUGGAGAAUAGCCUCGGGAAACUGGGAGUAAUCCUCCAUAAUAUUAUCGGGUGGCAUCAUUUGAUAAUUAAAGCUCAGGCGGUAUAAGAUUGGUGUGCGUAUGAUUAGCUAGUUGGUAGGGUAACGGCCUACCAAGGCGACGAUCAUUAGCUGGCGUGAGAGCGCGACCAGCCACACUGGAACUGAGACACGGUCCAGACUCCUACGGGAGGCAGCAGUAGGGAAUAUUGGACAAUGGGCGAAAGCCUGAUCCAGCCAUGCCGCGUGAUGGAUGAAGGCCCUCUGGGUUGUAAACAUCUUUUAUCAGGGAAGAAACAUCUCGUUUCUACGAGACUUGACGGUACCUGAUGAAUAAGCACCGGCUAACUCCGUGCCAGCAGCCGCGGUAAUACGGAGGGUGCAAGCGUUAUCCGGAUUUACUGGGUUUAAAGGGUGCGUA